rnacentral:rRNA from 1 species
UACGAGAGGGGCAAGCGUUAUUCGGAAUGAUUGGGCGUAAAGAGCACGUAGGCUGUUUAGAAAAUCGCAGAUAAAAAAAUCAAAGCUUAACUUUGAAAAUUAUUUGAUUAUAGAUUCCUAAACUAGAGUAAGUAAAAGGAGAAUGGAAUUCCUGAUGUAGAGGUAAAAUUUGUUGAUAUCAGGAGGAACAUCAAAAGCGAAGGCAAUUCUCUAGUACUUUACUGACGUUGAGGUGCGACAGCGUGGGGAUCAAAAGGG